rnacentral:rRNA from 1 species
UACGUAGGGACCAAGCGUUGUUCGGAUUUACUGGGCGUACAGCGCGCGCAGGCGGCCGUGUAUGUGACCGGUGACAGUCGCGGGCUCAACCCGCGCCGGCCCGGUUACACAGCACAGCUGGAGGCAGGGAGAGGGAUGUGGAAUACCCGGUGGAGCGGUGAAAUGCGUAGAGAUCGGGUGGAACACCAGCGGCGAAGGCGGCAUCCUGGCCCUGUACUGACGCUGAGGCGCGAUAGCUAGGGGAGCAAACAGG